GAAGCGAGAAGGAGCUCGAGCGGCGCGGUGCUUCCCUCCCUCGGGGUCUCAUUCAAACCGGCCCCUCAGGAUGACGCUGCAAGCAGGGACGGGUGCGCACGCAACUCCGGAAAGAGCGCCUAAUUGCUGCCUCCAGCGGUCGCUGUUUGUCGUGGCCGCGGCGCUACGCCGCUUCGAAGAAAGGCGGGGCUUAGAUUUCUCAGUCGAUCCGCGACGUUCUUCUAUGGGUACCAUCCAAGUUAAGUGCGGCAAGUAAGCUUCAAUUUCUUACUCCAACAAUAUACAGUAUCAACAUGAAGGGUACAGAGUUGAUCAGGAGAACACCAUGGUUGAUAGUGUCAAUAGAUGCAGAGCAAGUGAGCAGAAGAAGCAAGGCUGUACUCUCCUUAUCUCCCGAUAACGUCAUCCAUCAGUGUGACCAAGGCUGAUUCAGUCCCCAAAUCAGGUCUGAGCCCAGACUGAAAUGGGUCUACAUGAUCAAUUUCAUCCAUGAAACCCUGUUUCAAAAGAAAUGACAGUUCCCAUCCAAACAGAGAAGAGGAAAAUGUGUGUAAAAGGGGCAACAAUAAAGGGAAUUCCUCUGACAUAUGCAAAAGCAGUUACAAUUUUAUUUAUCUUGUUGGGCAAGAUCUUAAUGCUGAUCUCGCUGUGCCACCUCCCCAGGUAGGACACAAGCUGGAAUUGGACCCUGAAUCAAGUGAGGAAGGAAAAUACAUCCAAACACAAUAGAACUUUGAUCAAAGGUUACUGGUCACUUUUCUAAAGAGGGACUUCAUAUGUAGAGUUUGCAUUUCUCUUACAAUGUUGAUAACAUUAGCACAUACAGGUAGAUCUUGAAAUGG